UACGAAGGGGGCUAGCGUUGCUCGGAAUCACUGGGCGUAAAGGGUGCGUAGGCGGGUCUUUAAGUCAGGGGUGAAAUCCUGGAGCUCAACUCCAGAACUGCCUUUGAUACUGAGGAUCUUGAGUUCGGGAGAGGUGAGUGGAACUGCGAGUGUAGAGGUGAAAUUCGUAGAUAUUCGCAAGAACACCAGAAGCGAAGGCGGCCAACUGGCCCGAUACUGACGCUGAGGCGCGAAAGCGUGGGGAGCAAACAGG
rnacentral:rRNA from 1 species